rnacentral:tRNA from 1 species
GGCGGGGUAGCUCAUUUGGUUAGAGCGGCGGAUUCAUAACCCGCAGGUAACCGGUUCAACUCCGGUCCCCGCUACCA